UUACGAUAGCAGCCAAGGUGAAUGCACAUAAAUGGAUAUAUUUUUUGGGAAACUACUUAGGGUGAAUUAAUUACAUUGACCUUUAUAUUAUUACUACAAUAAUGAAGCAACCCCUUGAACUUCCCUCCUGAGUCACGUGAAUAAUUGAGUCAAAGUCUCCAAGUGCAAUGGACUUAAAAACUUGUUUCUAAUUUGUACACAGGCCUCCGUACUGAGGAAAGAUCUUUUUAUAACAAUGCUACACAAUAAAGCUUGACUCCCACCGGCCAACAAUGUGGUAGUGUCAUUCACCCCUACUAGACUGUUCAGUGCUAUUGAAAGCCAAUUUUUGUCAGCAGUUGUUGUGCCCACCUCUCUGCUCUCUGAAAGCUCUUGGAUGCUGUUUGUGCCGAACUGUGCCCGCCCCUCACCUGCAAAUCACUGGCCGUCUUUACCUUGAGCUCUGUAAAGAUCUGAAGAUCAAUUUUGAAGCAGUGGGCAGUUUGUUUAGAGGUCUUGACUGAAAAUGUCUUUAAAGAGGAGACUACUCUCCAUGUUGUUGUGCUGUGUGUACUGCGUGGCAUCACUCUUCUGCCUUAACCCGGACAGAAACAACUGUGUCUCACAUGGUGCCCGGAAUCUGAUAUCAGUUAUUCAGCAGCUGUACCAACGUGUGAUAAGGCUCCUACGCACCACUCUAUGAGUUUUCUCAAACAAGAGAGAAGGUUGAAGAGUGCAUUUGGGAAUGAUGCUGUUGUCUUUGUGAGAGGGUAGUCCUGAUAAAGAAGGAAUAUUUUACUUGCAGUAAAACUCCACUCUUGAGGUGAGACUGACAUCCAGUGAAACCAGAGUUUCUUAAACCAUGACCUUCAUAAUCCUGAGGGAUAAUUGUUAUAAAAGGAAGGUUAUGUGUACAACUGAAGUUAAAUGUACAAGGCCUGCUAUGGGAAUUUAUAUCAUUUGCCCAGACAUACUUUUUAACAGGGAAAAGAGUGCAGACUGUUGAAUACCUUAUUGUCUUCCUGACUAAGUGAUACAAAAAUGUUUAAAAAUGAAAUAAA